UCGCUUAGUGCUGCGGAGGAAUUGCAAGAAAGAAAGACAGAAUUUGCCUAAAAGUGAAUUUUAAAUAGUUCUGACGCGUUUUAGACAGGGAUAUAUGUUUAAUUUACUUUUUAUUUGCAUUGGCGUAAUUUGUACCGUUCCCACUGAUAGGAGCUAUGUUCGUUUUUAUAACGAAAUCUUGUUAUAUUCAAAUCCUUGGACCGGUGCUAAAAAUGUUUUGUUUGUUUAGAGCUGGACACUCUCACAGGUUGAGAAGUUUUAACCCUUUUGUUGUUGUUUAUUUGCACUGCUUGCAGUAGUGCAUACCGUUAUAACUACUUUUUGCAAAAGUAUAUUGUAAUUUCAAUAAAAGUACAAAAACUUC
rnacentral:misc_RNA from 1 species